rnacentral:sRNA from 2 species
CCCGGGUGCACGCUGAGUCCGGAGCCGCGCGGUGCAGACCGAGGCGGGACCGGAACCGGGGACCCAAACGUUCGUGGGGUGAAUCGACCGAGAGGUCGUAGGGCAGUCCUUCCUGCCCGAACCCGUCAGCUCACCCGGUAGGCGUCGACGAGAAGGGGA